CCUACGGGUGGCAGCAGUGAGGAAUAUUGGUCAAUGGGCGUAAGACUGAACCAGCCAAGUCGCGUGAGGGAUGAAGGUUCUAUGGAUCGUAAACCUCUUUUAUAAGGGAAUAAAGUGUGGGACGUGUCCUAUUUUGUAUGUACCUUACGAAUAAGCAUCGGCUAACUCCGUGCCAGCAGCCGCGGUAAUACGGAGGAUCCGAGCGUUAUCCGGAUUUAUUGGGGUUAAAGGGUGCGUAGGCGGCCUUUUAAGUCAGCGGUGAAAGUCCGUGGCUCAACCAGAGAAUUGCCGUUGAAACUGGGGGGCUUGAGUAUGUGUGAGGCAGGCGGAAUGCGUGGUGUAGCGGUGAAAUGCUUAGAUAUCACGCAGAACCCCGAUUGCGAAGGCAGACUGCCGAGCCAUGACUGACGCUGAUGCACGAAAGCGUGGGGAUCAAACAGGAUUAGAUACCCGUGUAGUC
rnacentral:rRNA from 1 species